rnacentral:sRNA from 1 species
CAAUGUACAUACAUUUUUUAUUUCAGCUCUUUUUCUUUGCAUAAAAUACUUAGAUCUAGCAGAUUCAAAAGAAAAAGAUGGCCAGCAGCCCAAUUUAUGAGGCAGAUAAUGACCACAUUAUGAUAAAAUUAAUUUUACCCAGUGGAGAUGUCAAAGAGAAUUUUGUGAUUAGAACCAAAUCUAAAGUUGGCAGAG